rnacentral:lncRNA from 13 species
GGGAGAGUGUGUUGGUGUGUAAAGAGGCUGAGCGUCAAAAGGGUGUGUGUCUUCUCCAGGGCUCUCUGCAGCCAAUCAGCAGCUGCCUGGUGAAGAGGGAGGGGGAGGGCCUAACCACCAGCAUGCUCCGAGCCAUCCUGGAGGUACUGACCUCUAACCCCUGAAAUAUGGAUGUUAUUUGUACAUUUAUUACCAUAGACUUGGACAGACAGCUCACGUGCAACACAGCCUGUUGUAGUAUGGACAACGUCAUUGAGGACCAUCUCCAUUUUGAAGUAGUUAGGUCAACAGGAGGGAUCAGCCAAGGGAAUUAUUCCCCCUGAGAAAAUAAUUCAUUAACUGCAGGGGGCAGUAAAUCACCAACCUUGUCUUUAUUCCUGUUCAGACAACACCCUCCAGGGGGCAGUAAAUCACCAACCUUGUCUUUAAACCUGUUCAGACAACACCCUCCAGGGGGCAGUAAAUCAGAUGGUCCUCAGUGGCGCUGCCCACGGUGUCACAUAUGCAAAGAUGGUACCUCUAUCUACCUCUAUGUGUCUUACACAGCUACAGGUAACUGCCAAAAUAGAGGAAACAUUUUACAAGUGUCUGGAACUCUAUUGGAGGGAUGUGACAUCAUUCUUCCACGAGACAUUCCACUAUUUGGUGUUUUGUUGACGGUGGUGGAAAACGCUGUCUCAGGCACCGCUCUUGAAUCUCCCAGGAGUGUUCUGUCUAACGUGCCGGAACAAUCACCCCUCUUUUCAACACUUACUCAGAAUUUUUAGACGUAAACCUAAGCAUGAUGGGAUGUUAAUUGCUUAGUUUCCCACACCUGCUUUCUGUGUAUCCCUAAUUUACUCAGGUCUUUCCUUUAUUUUGGCAGUUACCUGCACAUACCUGUACCUGUCACCUACAGUAUGUACCUGUCACCUACAGUAUAUACCUGUACCUGUCACCUACAGUAUAUACCUGUAUCUGUCACCUACAGUAUGUACCUGUCACCUACAGUAUAUACCUGUCACCUACAGUAUAUACCUGUCACCUACAGUAUGUACCUGUCACCUACAGUAUGUACCUNNNNNNNNNNNNNNNNNNNNNNNNNNNNNNNNNNNNNNNNNNNNNNNNNNNNNNNNNNNNNNNNNNNNNNNNNNNNNNNNNNNNNNNNNNNNNNNNNNNNGCUUGAAAGGAUGCUGGCCAUUCUCUAUUUUGGUUAGGCCAGGGUGUGACUAGGGUGGGCGUUCUAUGUUCUUUUUUCUAUAUUUUUGUAUUUCUUUGUUUUUGGCCGGGUAUGGUUCUCUUUUUUAAAAUUGUUUUAUUAUUUUUUUUACCCCUUUUUCUCCCCAAUUUCAUGGUGUCCAAUUGUUGUAGUAGCUACUAUCUUGUCUCAUCGCUACAACUCCCGUACGGGCUCGGGAGAGACGAAGGUUGAAAGUCAUGCGUCCUCGGAUACACAACCCAACCAAACAACCCAAGCCGCACUGCUUCUUAACACAGCGCGCAUCCAGCCCGGAAGCCAGCCGGAAACACCGUGCACCUGGCAACCUUGGUUAGCGUGACAAGGAUAUCCCUACCGACCAAGCCCUCCCUAACCCGGACGACGCUAGGCCAAUUGUGCGUCGCUCCACGGACCUCCCGGUCACGGCCGGUUACGACAGAGCCUGGGCGCGAACCCAGGGACUCUGAUGGCACAGCUGGCGCUGCAGUACAGCGCCCUUAACCACUGCGCCACCCGGGAUACCCCUGGUAUGGUUCUCAAUCAGGGACAGCUGUCUAUCGUUGUCUCUGAUUGGGAACCAUACUUAGGUAGCUCUUGCCCACAUGGGUUUUGUGGGUAGUUGUUUUCUGUAUUGUUAGUUUCCUUGGUCCAGUCAUUCACAGGAAGAGGACUGUUAGGCUGCGCCUUGGUCCAGUCAUUCACAGGAAGAGGACCGUUACGCUGCACCUUGGUCCAGUCAUUCACAGGAAGAGGACCGUUACGCUGCGCCUUGUUCCAGUCAUUCACAGGAUGGGGACUGUUACGCUGCACCUUGGUCCAGUCAUUCACAGGAAGAGGACUGUUUUACGCUGCGCCUUGGUCCAGUCAUUCACAGGAAGAGGACCGUUACGCUGCGCCUUGGUCCAGUCAUUCACAGGAAGAGGACCAUUACGCUGCGCCUUGUUCCAGUCAUUCACAGGAAGAGGACUGUUACAGAUGCACAUAACUCUGUUGAGUUGUAUUGGAGAGAGUAGUUGAAGUGUACCUAUGAUGAAAAUUACAGGCCUCUCUCAUCUUUUUAAGUGGGAGAACUUGCACAAUUGGUGGCUGACUAAAUACUUUUUUGCCCCAUUGUAACUCUGAAAUGUUGGGUUGUAUUGGAGAGAGUCUCAGUCUUAAAUCAUUUUCCACAUAGUCUGUGUCUGUAUUUAGUUGUCAUGCUAGUGAGGACCGAGAUUCCACUCUCACAUAGGUACGUAGUUGCAAAGGGCAUCAGUGUCUUAACAGCGUGACUUGCCAGGGCAACUAUCCAGAAAUCUGGCAGAACCACUUGUUGCAAUUUCGAUGAGGAUCUCUUUUUCAGAUAUCGGUAAGUGGACUGGAGGCAGGGCAUGAAAGGUAUAACGAAUCCAGUUGUUUGUGUCGUCCAUUUCUGGAAAGGACCUGUGUAAUUAUGGUCAGUAAAGAAAACUUUAAGCCUGUCUCUCAAUAAAAAAACAUUUGUCAAUACUUUGCCCCUUGAUAACCAGCGCACUUCUUUAUGUUGUAAAAGCGUUACAGGGUCACUGUCCAUAUCAUUGCAUAAUGCAGAAAAUACACGAGAGUUCAGGGGCCUUGCUUUAACAAAGUUAACCAUUUUCACUGUAGAGUCCAAAACAUCUUUCAAGCUGUCAGGCAUUCCCUUGGCAGCAAGAGGCUCUCGGUGGAUGCUGCAGUGUACCCAAGUGACGUCGGGAGCAACUGCUUGCACGUGCGUUACCACUCCACUAUGUCUUCCUGUCAGGGCUUUUGUGCCAUCAGUACAGACACCAACACAUCUUGACCACCAAAGUCCAUUUGAUGUCACAAAGCUGUCCAGUACUUAAAAAAGAUCCUCUACUGUUGUCCUGGUUUCCAGUGGUUUGCAGAAGAGGACGUCUUCCUUAAUUGACCCCCCAUAAACAUAACGGACAUAUACCAGGAGCUGUGCCAGGCCCGCCACGUCUGUUGACUCAUCCAGCUGUAACGCAUAGAAUUCACUGGCUUGUAUGCGAAGCAGUAAUUGUUUCAAAACAUCUCCUGCCAUGUCACUGAUGCUGAAAGUCGUCUUUAUUCUCCCUUGGCUUAUUUUUCAAAUGGUCAUGUUUCGUUUCUAAAUGUCUGAGCAAGAGUGAAGGUUUCCUGUGAGAAAGUAACGGUUAAUGUGAUUGGAUGAGUAACGGUUAAUGUGAUUGGAUGAGUAACGGUUAAUGUGAUUGGAUUAGUAACUGUUAAUGUGAUUGGAUGAGUAACGGUUAAUGUGAUUGGAUGAGUAACGGUUAAUGUGAUUGGAUGAGUAACGGUUAAUGUGAUUGGAUGAGUAACGGUUAAUGUGAUUGGAUGAGUAACGGUUAAUGUGAUUGGAUGAGUAACUGUUAAUGUGAUUGGAUGAGUAACGGUUAAUGUGAUUGGAUGAGUAACGGUUAAUGUGAUUGGAUGAGUAACGGUUAAUGUGAUUGGAUGUUAAUUAUUUAACUAGGCUACCUGUAUUUGACAUUGUGUUGUUAUUUCACUGAACACCAGGUGGUUUAAUUUUAUUUUUGGCAGUGAAACGAGGCUACUGAGGCGAGGGAAAAAACUCACCCAAAAGUAUAGCCCCGUUGGACAACAUAAAUGUACUGUUUGAAAAUGUGAAAAAUAUUAUAUAUAUAUAUAUAUAUAUAUAUAUAUAUAUUAUUAUAUUUUUGAUCAUGAUCAUAUAUAUAUCCAAUAUAUAUAUCUUUUUUUAAUUUGGCGUACCCCCGACGACAUUGCACAUACCCCAGUUUGGGAAUACCUGCUCCAUACUAACUAAUCAGCACACAGCACCCCCCAUACUAACCAAUCAGCACAGAGCAUAAUCUAUUCUAACCAAUCAGCACAGAGCAUCAUCCAGUGGAAACUGUAAGUGCCUUCUAAACCUACAGAGAAGGCCUAAGGGUUGAUAAAAUAAUAGAUGUAUUUUUAUAUUAAAAAUGUCAUUCUAUUUCAUUUCUAUCUUUUCUAUCUUUUCAAUAAUAUUUAAAUGGUAAUCUGAUUUAUUUUAUUAUUUUCAAUUAUAUUCUAAUUUAAUGUCUUCAGUGUGUGUUGGAAAGGAAAGGGUUAAGAGAGGAAAGGGUGAAGAGAAAAAAAUAUCCAAUCAGGAUUUUCUUUGGGGGUCUCUGGGGAGAUAAAACCAGCUAACUAGCUUAGCUAUUGGCUUUCAGAAGCUAGAAAGAAUGCCUCUGCCAUUCAACUGUAUUAGAGCAGAAUUUUGGAGUGACAGUAGAAUCAACCAAUCACAUUUUGACUUGCAAUGGGUGGGACUGUUUUACAAAAAAAAAGGAAAAUGUAGGGCUAGAGACAUGUCACUGCUGAGAUUGUGAGCCAAUAGCACGAGCUCUAGUUUUCCUAUGGUCAAGUUAGUUUGUGUUGUAGGCUAGUGUGUAGGUGUUAUCUUUGAGGACUGAGGAGGAUGUGUUUGCUAAUUUGUUACCAUCGCCCUUUUCAAGAUUAACUUUCAACAAGAAGUUAAAAUUAUCAUAAUCAUGCCACUGUUUUAUUAUUGUAUCUCGCUUGCUGUUAACUAUCUAUGGGUGACCAUGACUGGGUGAAACACGGGUGACCAUGACUGGGUGAAACACAGGUGACCAUGACUGGGUGAAACAUGGGUGACCAUGACUGGGUGAACCACGGGUGACCAUGACUGGGUGAACCACGGGUGACCAUGACUGGGUGAAACACGGGUGACCAUGACUGGGUGAAACACG